AUCCAGUUGACUAGUCCCAAAUAGGACAAAACGCGUGUCCUGGAU
rnacentral:hammerhead_ribozyme from 1 species